AAAUUGAAGAGUUUGAUCAUGGCUCAGAUUGAACGCUGGCGGCAGGCCUAACACAUGCAAGUCGAACGGUAACAGGAAGCAGCUUGCUGCUUCGCUGACGAGUGGCGGACGGGUGAGUAAUGUCUGGGAAACUGCCUGAUGGAGGGGGAUAACUACUGGAAACGGUGGCUAAUACCGCAUAACGUCGCAAGACCACAGAGGGGGACCUUCGGGCCUCUUG
rnacentral:rRNA from 1 species